GACGAACGCUGGCGGCGUGCCUAAUACAUGCAAGUAGAACGCUGAAGAAAGGAGCUUGCUUCUUUUGGAUGAGUUGCGAACGGGUGAGUAACGCGUAGGUAACCUGCCCUGUAGCGGGGGAUAACUAUUGGAAACGAUAGCUAAUACCGCGUAACAGCUUUUGACACAUGUUAGAAGCUUGAAAGAUGCAAUUGCAUCACUACGAGAUGGACCUGCGUUGUAUUAGCUAGUAGGUAGGGUAACGGCCUACCUAGGCGACGAUACAUAGCCGACCUGAGAGGGUGAUCGGCCACACUGGGACUGAGACACGGCCCAGACUCCUACGGGAGGCAGCAGUAGGGAAUUUUCGGCAAUGGGGGCAACCCUGACCGAGCAACGCCGCGUGAGUGAAGAAGGUUUUCGGAUCGUAAAGCUCUGUUGUAAGAGAAGAACGUGUGUGAGAGUGGAAAGUUUCACACAGUGACGGUAA
rnacentral:rRNA from 1 species